rnacentral:rRNA from 1 species
UUUAGCCUACGGGGGGCAGCAGUGGGGGAUAUUGCACAAUGGGGGGAACCCUGAUGCAGCGACGCCGCGUGGGUGAAGAAGUAUUUCGGUAUGUAAAGCCCUAUCGGCAGGGAAGAAUUUAGACGGUACCUGACUAAGAAGCCCCGGCUAACUACGUGCCAGCAGCCGCGGUAAUACGUAGGGGGCAAGCGUUAUCCGGAUUCACUGGGUGUAAAGGGAGCGUAGACGGCCAUGCAAGCCUGGAGUGAAAGCCCGGGGCCCAACCCCGGGACGGCUCUGGGAACUGUGGG